UUGUGAUCUUCAUGUCUCCUUGGUGCAUUCGUCCUUCAUUCUUGGAAUUACAAAAUUUUUUUCUUAAUCUAAUCCUAUGAAUUCUAAUUACAUAUAUGUAAAGAAACCUCAAGUUACAUUUGAGGGGAGUAAGAUAAGAAGAGAAUUUUACUACUCUUGAAUAAAAUAGAGGAAAGCCAGAGCACACACUCCCUAUUUAUAAAAUAAAUACCAAAUACAUUCAACCAUAACCAUCCAU
rnacentral:lncRNA from 1 species